CCCAACUAUCCCUAUUAAUCAUUACGGUGAUCCUAGAAACCAACGAAAUAGAACCAAGCCGUCCUAUUUCAUUAUUCCAUGCUAAUAUAUUCAGACGUUAGCCUGCUUUAAACACUCUAAUUUUUUCAAAGUAAUAGUCCUGAUUUCCAAUCACACCAAAUAAAUGGCAUGAAAGUUCCUCAGAAGGUAGAGAUUUAUCUCACCAGUACAGACAAUUAAGCCUGACCAAUGGGUAAACCCCGAAGUUCAACUACGAGCUUUUUAACUGCAACAACUUUAAUAUACGCUAUUGGAGCUGGAAUUACCGCGGCUGCUGGCACCAGACUUGCCCUCCAA
rnacentral:misc_RNA from 2 species